AACGAACGCUGGCGGCAGGCCUAACACAUGCAAGUCGAGCGAAGCCUUCGGGCUUAGCGGCGGACGGGUGAGUAACGCGUGGGAACGUGCCCUUUGGUACGGAAUAGCCCCGGGAAACUGGGAGUAAUACCGUAUGUGGUCGAGAGACGAAAGAUUUAUCGCCAAAGGAUCGGCCCGCGUUGGAUUAGGUAGUUGGUGGGGUAAUGGCCUACCAAGCCGACGAUCCAUAGCUGGUUUGAGAGGAUGAUCAGCCACACUGGGACUGAGACACGGCCCAGACUCCUACGGGAGGCAGCAGUGGGGAAUCUUAGACAAUGGGGAAACCCUGAUCUAGCCAUGCCGCGUGAUCGAUGAAGGCCUUAGGGUUGUAAAGAUCUUUCAGUGGGGAAGAUAAUGACUGUACCUGGUAAAGAAACCCCGGCUAACUCCGUGCCAGCCGCCGCAGUAACAC
rnacentral:rRNA from 1 species